AUGUUUCAACGUUGAAACAACUUUUGUUACCAGAUGAGAUGUAAUCUCUAGCGUUUGGUGCUGAGAUUCUUCAGGACAACGCCUUGAUGCCAUUCACACUCAGUACAUGAAGAAGAUUCACCAAACAUCUGGCUGAUUACUGGCAAUUUGCAGUAAUGACAGUGGACAAGUGAAGAGAGAGGAGGGGAGGGCAUCAGAAAGGAACUUGAGCUGCUGCGACUGUCUUGGAUAACCCAAAGCACAACUACACUAUGUGUCCAAGAUCCUGGCCUGUGUCCAUUCUCAAACUGUUCCACGAACCUCCACUGCACAAAAGGCAGUUCCAGGACAGAAAUAUCGGUACCCUCACUCUUCACCAGUCAUCACAUUCACAACCACCACAGUCAAGGUCCCUGGUCCACAGCAUCAACCAUCUUUGUAGGAAAAUGAUUACUGCAUUUCUUGAUGUAUCUUUAAAAUUGACAGAUUUCUUAUGGAGUGCAAUCCCUCUCUAGAUGAACUGAGGCCUAUCGAUCUUACAAAAUACUGUCAGACACUGCAUAUGAUGUUCUCAAAAUAAUAAAUAAAUUAAUAAAAUACUUAAGAAUUU